AAUGAAAAUAUGUUUACGUUGAUGUCUUAGUCAAUAAAAAUGUUAAGAAAAAUAUUUUUUAAUAAGAGGGCCCUAGUAUAAAAGAAAAAGCUUUUUUAGACUUUAGUUUAAAAGUACCGUCAGGGAAAUUUGAAAUAGGAAUGAAAAUUUAACUAAUUUAAAGGAGAGGUGAAAGUUCGUACCUUUUGUAUCAGGGAGAAUCAAAAUGUGUCAUUUAAGGUGAAUUUCCCGAAAAAAGAAUAGCUAAUAGUUUAUAGUUGUCCUGGUUGAAAACAGGUUUAUAAUAAAUUUGUUAGUGGUGAGAUGCCAAUCGAGUCUUUUAAUAUCUGGUUGUUUUGGAAGUAAAUUUAAUUUAGACUAAACUGUUGAGAGAAUAAAGGUUUAGUAAAAGAGCUGGAGGGAAAAGCUUCUAGUUAAAAUGUGGGCGUAAGAAAAAUUAUGUUUGUGGAGAUUUAUUUCAACUAAGCUUAGAAGUAGCUAUGUUUAUAAAGUGUCUUAACUAAGAUAAAAUUUCGAUAGAAUAUUUUUAUGAUCUUCGUGUGGAGUACAAAACUUUAAUAUAUAAUUUGAUUAAUUUAGUAAAAAUGAUUCUAUUAGUAUAAUUGUCUCUAUGUGUUAAAUUGGAUUAGAUUUGGAAUAGCAAAUAUUUUUUGUUUGAUAGAGAGAAGUUAUAGCAAAGGAACUCGGCAAAAAAGAUUUCUGCCUGUUUAUCAAAAACAUGUCUUUAUGAAUUUUAUGUAAAGUCUAGCCUGCCCAGUGAUAUUAAAGUUCAACGGCCGCGGUAGCAUGACCGUGCUAAGGUAGCAU
rnacentral:rRNA from 1 species